rnacentral:rRNA from 1 species
AUGAACGCUGGCGGCGUGCUUAACACAUGCAAGUCGAACGGUGAGGGCGGAGCUUGCUCUGCUGGAUCAGUGGCGAACGGGUGAGUAACACGUGAGCAAUCUGCCCCUGACUCUGGGAUAAGCGCUGGAAACGGCGUCUAAUACUGGAUACGAGCUGCGAAGGCAUCUUCAGCAGCUGGAAAGAACUUCGGUCAGGGAUGAGCUCGCGGCCUAUCAGCUUGUUGGUGAGGUAACGGCUCACCAAGGCGUCGACGGGUAGCCGGCCUGAGAGGGUGACCGGCCACACUGGGACUGAGACACGGCCCAGACUCCUACGGGAGGCAGCAGUGGGGAAUAUUGCACAAUGGGCGAAAGCCUGAUGCAGCAACGCCGCGUGAGGGACGACGGCCUUCGGGUUGUAAACCUCUUUUAGCAGGGAAGAAGCGAAAGUGACGGUACCUGCAGAAAAAGCGCCGGCUAACUACGUG